AAGUUACUGAGAGGCAGAGCUGGGGUUCAAAGGUGGCAGUUCAGGCUGUGCCCCACAUUCGGCUUCACGGCUCGCCAGCUGUCUCUAUCCACUGUGUGUGCACCUGCCGCACGUCCCAGGGGCCGUGGAGCCGCACAACUCGUGUUUCCAUUGCCUAGAAUUCCCCAGCUCCGGAUGGAGAUGGACACAUCUGAAGCUCUGAUCUGAGAUGAGUCUCCUUCGCAUCCGAAGGCGCUCCUUCCCCUCUGGGCCUAGAACUCUAGAACCACACAGCUAUUUUCUUCCCGCACUGUAAACACGCCCCUCCCUUGCCUUCUGGAUCCCGUCACUUCCGCUGAGAAAUAAUCUUAUGGCCCCCUUGAAGGAUGGGCGCCCUGAAACACAAGGGACCAGGCCCCCACCACAUGCGAGGAAGGUGCAGGAAGGAGCAGCACAGAGCCCUGAGCCACAGAGACACUGCAGUCUGGACCAGCAGUGAUCGGACAGGUCCUUGAUCGCUGGGGAUGCCAGUUCUCUGUCUGCCGGAGCCCAGCUCCCUCUGCCUUCUCCCUGCCGUGCUCAGCAUCGUGGGCCCUGGCCCAGCAAAGCUCAUUUCCAGGUUUUGCUUGUGUUCUGUCCCUGAGAGGCUCUGGCCAGGGCUGGGAGGGUGGGAGGAGGAAGAGGCCAGUGUCCGCCCUCAUCUCUGCUCCAGGCAGCACCUCUGGCAGGGUGGCCUCUGCAUUUCAGCUCCUCCAGGCGGCCCCCUUCUUCCAUGGGGCCCCCAAGGCAUGGGAAUCGCACCCUCCCAUACACCCCUUUCUGGACCCACUGCAUAUUAACCUCCCUGUGGAGCCGCCUGGCCUGGGCUCUGGAGCCUGAGCCCUCGCUGAUAACGAGGUGAUGGCCAAGAGCCUUGAACACCAAUACUGUCACCCAGGGCUGCCCAGUGAGUUCCCAGCAGGGCAGCAUUCCCCCUGUGCUUGCCCUGGAACCCCUUUUUGGUCGACAAGUUGUAUGUUUUCAGAAUGGUUUGAGAUUUACAGCCAAACAGAGAAGACAGCCCAGAGGGCGUCCGCAUCCCCUCCACCCACCACCUCCCGCCAUCCGCAUGGGGCCCCGUCCUGGCCGUCAGCCAGCGUGGUGCAUCACGGUGACCCGAAAUUCACUUUAUGCAGAUUUCCUUCGUUAGCGAGUGUCCCCUUUCUGUCCAGGACCCCAUUCCAGACACCACGUGACCCCUUGCCUCCCUGGGCUCCUCCUGGUUGCGACAGUUUCCCAGCCUUUCCUCAUCUUGCGUAUUCUUCUUCUUUCUUUCUUUUUUUGAGAUGAAGUCUUGCUCUGUCCCCG